rnacentral:misc_RNA from 1 species
AAGCCGUCACAUGUUAAGUCUCCUGUCACCAGCAAACAUGUUCGUUUUUACUUUGCUGGCAAUGUUUUCUGUUGCAUGGACUUUUAAAACUUUUGACGUGGCAACAUUUAACGAAGAUAAAAUCACGGCUGUGGAGGACACCGUUCAUAGACUCGUGGCUAGGGUGAAGGCACUGGAGGCACUGGAGGCGUACAUCAAUAUAUCAGGUAAAGCAGAAGCCUCGAUGACCUCUCUGGCUGAACGGGUGAACGCACUGGAACUGGAAGUCCAAAAUAUGCGCAGCAUGGAAACUGUGCGGGGCAACAGGUCUUCUACAAAGGACACACUGGGAGCAGCUGUCACGAAACCACAUCCCGUCAAAUACGUUGGGUGUUACAGAGACUCCUGGGUUCGAGCAUUACAUUUCCUCUGUCCCACAACACACCUGACAACAGAGAAAUGCCGGAUGUGUUGUCUUGAUCAUAACUUUUCCUAUUUUGGAACUGAGAUUAGAGGGCAGAAGCCUCCUUUCACAUCUCACGUUACAUCAAGAUCAGUUGGUGGGUGAAGAUCAUUGUUUUCACACUGGAUGCCCAACCUAGUCCUAUUUUGGAAGCUUGACAGCUGUUGCUUGGUUGGACUACAAUGCUUUUGUGGUGAUGACAUCCACAGUGGAAACAAGAAAGUGGAUGACACAGAGUGCGCUUCUCCAUGUGCUGGCGACGUACAAGAUCGAUGUGGAGGAAACUGGGCAAUAUCCAUCUAUCAGAUGUAAACAUGCCUAAAACUGAUAUAUAAUCCAACUGAACAAAACGUCCACUCAUAGGGCUUUUCAUAUUCCUCUCACUAUCUUUAGAAUUAGAAGGAAUAACUUGACACUUUACUUAUACGUUUCUGAAAAUAUAUUGGUUCUUAUUUCAUGUAUCCCUCGUUUUGUGUUCCAUCACAGUUGAGCUUCCUUGGACAUUGCAUAUUUUUAUAUGAACGUAUGUCUCGCUUUGUUCAGUCAAAUGGAUGAUAAAUAAAAUUUAAUGAA